UAUUCCCGCCUUGAUAUUUCACCCUCUCUCUGCUCUCUGCUCUUCUCUCGGAGAUUUUGUUUGUUCCGAUUUCGUCGAUCUCUGCUCGAAGAUUUUCUUCGUCUGCUAGCUCCGUCUUCUCUUGUUUAGUAAGAUUUGUAUCUCGCGUCUCUAACUAACCAGGUCGGUAAUUUUAAAAUCCUGUUCUCUCAGAGGUUUUGAAUUUUCGAUUUCUUUGCUUUUUCUCCACCGAUCGUGUUCAUCUGUUGCUUGAUUUCAGACGAAUUCGUAAGGUUUCUGAUCUAUAUGGUGGUCGCUAGGUCUCGAUUUGAAUUCGUUCAUGUCUGAUUGAUUUUUUUAUGCUAAGGAUUUCCGUUCGGUUGGAUCAUCGCGGUUUGGAAGGAUUUCUAGGGUUCCGAUCAGCAUGAGAAUGGCUAGAAAGAGGACUGAAACUGCAACUGAGAGACCAAAGGAGAUCAAAGCCAGAGGAAAAUUCACCAGAGCCAAGAAGUGUAUGAAAACGACUACUAAAAAAAUCCAUGAUUCUGGAAAACAUGCUAGUGGAAGAAAAGAGAAGUCCCCUUCUAAAUGUUCAGCUGAGCCUCCAUCUUCUUUGGAUCAAAGUUUGUUACAUACUCAAGACCGAGCUCAAAAAGUACCAGUCCUUGAUCUUCAUUCGAGCAAUAAGGUUCGAAGUUCUGAAAAAAUGAAGUUGCAGCUCUUUCCUUUGGAUGCUCAUACCCGUGAAGGAUUGGAAAAGGAUCGCUUUCACCCAUACCUGGAACUCACUCUUAGCUCACGAAAAAAGAUUUCUUCAGUGCUUCAACACAUUCACAGUAAGUGGGGCAGCUCAGAGAUUGCCCGGGGAGAGCCCACGUUGUACCCAUAUGAUAAACUAGUACUUGCUUCUGGUCGUAAAUGGAUAGCAAACAGCAACAUCACUACUGGUGCUGUCUAUCAAGCUAUUGGAGCUCCACCACUUUUCCGCUUAAGGUAUGGGUGGACUUCUGACAUUGAACAUAAAACCCAUGAACCGCCAUCUCCUUCAACUCCGGGUAUUGCUUGUUUUCAGAAUGAAGAACUACAUAACAAUGGUAAUAAGGUAGAGGUUGCCAGCUUUACUGGAAAGCAGAUGCUUGAUUUAGACAAUCCAUUUACAAUGCUGUCCUCUUCAAAUCAAGUGAAUAACAUGCCUCCCUUGGAAAACAUACUUCCCGAUGAACAAGUUGAGUCAAAGGAGAAUAAGAUAAACAAUGGAGCUGGCCCGACAUUGCUUUUUUGGGAUGAUGGAUUGACAAGCCUGAGUAUUGGUGGCUUGCUAUCAGAAGUAUCAUUGAAAGGAAACUUUGGGAGUCACUGUAAAAAUUCAAACGCAACUCUCUGGGAAGACAAUCUUACAAACGUAAGCAUUGGGGGUUUGUUUUCCGAGGCUUCUUUACAAGGCAGACGCAAUAUUAAACAUGAACAAGAACCAACUCAUUACAAUAAUAAUGGUCUGUCAACUGGAAGUAUUGGAGGCUUACUUUCUGAAGCAUCAUCAGUAGGAGAAGGAAGAUUUAGGGACUGUAACAACACAUGGGAAACAAAGAGAGCUAUCAGACAGCCACCAUUACCUCUAAUAUCUGAUUCAUUAAGUGCUUUCCUCGAGAAUCGAACAGAUAACCCUCGAGUACCAUGCCCUAAUCUUCCUCCUGAGCCGUCGCACUUGUCUAUACUCGAUGCAGAAGAUACAUGUCAUGCAUUUUCAUUUCGAAAGCGUACCACAACCUCACCGAAGGUUCACGAGCAGGUAAGUGGAAAAGCCGAGAAGGAGCAACAGAAAGAUGAAUCGAAACCUGCAAAACCAGUAUUUGGUUCCAUGGUGUUUGAUCAGGACAGCAGCCUCGGAUUUUCAGGAAUCAAGUGGGCUGAGUCACGGGGACCAUUCGAUUUUGGUUUAUCUUUAUCUCGAAAGUUUACUAAUGGAGACAGUGUAAGCUUCGGUGCUGUAGUAAAAGAUCUGCAGGAAAUGGAGCCUUUAGAAGAGAAAAUAUAGCUUAAAAAGCAUUGAAACCCAUGAACAAUAACUACUCCACAGGAAAGGUAAAUAGUAAACAAGUUUUAUAGGAUCUGAAGAUCCUUUUGACAUACAAAGAGGAAUUUGUCUCUACUCAAAAUAUAAAGAUGUACAUGAAGCCACAUAUUUUCCCAUGCGUGUGCUCUGCAGAACACGAUAUGUUAUAGUAUCUGUGUUCAUUAAGGAUUGCUGUCAAUAAUAUUGCAUACCACUGAAAUUUUCAACCUAAAAUUAAAUAUUUGUACGAAACAACUAAGGACACAAAAGUAUCUAAACACAUCUUGUUUAGGUACCACCGUAAGUACUCUUGUUAUCUAUAA